UGUACCGUAGGGUAGAAAAUGAGAGAAAGCACAUUCCUAAUGUGGAAAACAGCAGCUGGAACAGGUGUGCUUUGACUCGGACAGGCGAUGCCUCCCUGCGUGGGUGCACCAAGUGCUGAGUAGUGUCCGCUAACCCUGUGUGUGUGUCAUCACUUUGCGAGCUGUACAAGGUGCUUCAUGCAGGGGGGGGGGGGGGGGGGGGGGGGGGGGCAAAAUGCGAGCGUCAGCUUGUGUGUGUGUGUGUGUGUGUGUGUGUGUGUGUGUGUGUGUGUGUGGAGUCCGCAAGGAGGCAGGAAACAGAGGGAUCCUGUUUGCAAGUCAAACUCAUUGUUCAGCUGAUUGUAGCCUCCCCCACCGCCGCCGCCGACACCACCUUCACCCUUCCUCCACUACGACACACUCACACGCAACAAACAAGUCCACUGUAGUGUUUACUUGACUGCGAGCAUCGUAAACUCUCAAGAUAAAGGCCGUCAUUGGGUUCCGAAGGCCUAACUCUUUAAAGACCUUCAAUGGUUUCAAUUUUUUUGCCCCCAUUUCAAUCCCCGCUUCUGACAUGUGCUUGACCACUGCACACAUGCUUAUUUCCGGCCAAGAAGUGCCGGUGUUGUUUACUUAGGUGCACUUGUCUUAUUUUCACAUUGAACAGAGACCAAAUUCUGCUCUCAAGAGCAGCCUUUGCCUCCUGCAUGCUCUGCACAGCUGAACAACACAAAUUGUGCACAUGCACUGCACACACACAAAAACUUGUACACUUGCACAUGCACGCUGUACAGUGCUCAUACAUAUGCCGGCUCACAUGCAGACGUAUACAGUACAAGUAUUCACACAGAGUGCACACUUACCUGCAUACACACCAAGUCUGCACUUACAUACACGUUCCAAUUACAGUGCACAUGCUAACAAAUACAGUGCAAACAAACACAAACUCAUUUCAGGCAAUGUACGUUUGUAAAAAGUGUCAAAAGGCUUCAAAAUGGCAUCAGAAAUGCUUUUGUCUAUACUGUAUUACAACAAUAUUUGCCCUUCCCCCCACACACACCCAAAAUAUGCCACAGGCUUGGAGCGUGCCGAGACAUGCGGGAGUAAAGUUGUGAACGUGUGUCAUAGUUUGACGUGGAAUAACAUUUACCAUCCGAAAAGGCCGCAAGCACCUGUUAUGUUCACAAACUUCCACAAAAAAAAAAAACCAUAAGAAAAGAAAAAAGCUUACUACGCUAUGGAAGAAUACAAGUGAGUAAAUCCGGCUUGUGGCCAAAUGAAAUGAGUUUAUUGAAACGUCAGUGUAAAGUGAGAUAUGCAUGUUAGAUGAUCUGUGUGAAAUGAAGAAGUGUGCAUGCAUGCAGGCAGGCAAGAGGCGGCCCGUCUUGCCCUGACAGCUUAAUGAGCGCCUGUCCACAUGUCACCUCGCCCGUCGCAAAGCCAGCAAAAUAGCCGCAAGAUGAGCAGGAAGGUGGUAAAACAAUCUGGUUUGCUCUGCAGUGUCCCGAGAAAAACAAGUACAAACACACGCACACACACACACACGCACACACACACAAUGUGGGUGGCUUCUGCAUGUAUAUCGACAAUAUGUAUAGAGCAAAGAUCUUUAAGUGCCAACUGCAUACAGCUGAAGACUUAUAUUCCUCAGUCCAUGUGUCGUGUGUGUGUGUGUGUGUGUGUGUGUGUGUGUGUGUGUGUAUACACACGUGUAUGUGUCUGCUUGUUAUGACUGGGGACCUAAGUUUUCCCGGGAACAUAAAGCUAAGCCCUCAUUAAACAAAGCGAGGAAUGCAUGUAAAGUUUGUGUAUAUGUGUGCGUUAUUGUGUCUCGUGUAUGGACCAAAAUCUUUGUGGGGACCAUAAAGCCAGUCACGACUGAACAUGUGUGUGUGUGUGUGUGCGUGUGCACGUGCACACACGCACGCGUGUACUUGUUAUGACUGAUCUGGAUACUAAAAUCUUCCUGGGGUUAUAUUUAUAGUAUAUAGUAUAACUGGGCUGUCACCAAACCAAGCAAGGGAUGUACAUAAAGUGUGUUUACGUACUUGUUGUUGUCCUAAUGAGAGGACCAAACACUUCUUGAGGAUCAUAAAGCUCACCACAACCAAAGUGAUGCAUUUCAAGUCCGUGUGUAUGUGUGUGCAUGUGUGAGAGAGAGAGUUUGAGAGAGAGAGAGUUAGAGAGAGAGAAAAAGAGAGAUACAAGCACUGUGUUAAGAAAAUGCCCUGCGGUGUACAGCAUGUGUCGAUACUUGUAGGAGUGCAGCAUGUGAUUGUGCCUGCACGUAACUGCUGAAGACACAAUGUAUUUUCUCACCAUAAUGCAACUAUAACAAAUUACCCACUGAAACAACUCUCAGUCGACUGUAUGUGUGCGUGUGUGUGUGUGUGUGUGUGCGUGUGUGUGUGUGUGAAGAUUGAGUGCACUUUUUUAGGAUAACACACUCCAAUUUAAAAAAAAUGCUAAAAGCGUGUUUUGCUUUCUGCAGUGACGUGCUCUGUUAUUUGUUUCAUUUAUUAUUGUUGUUGUUAUUAUUAUUAUUAUCAUUGCAUUUUAUCGUGUAUGUUUUUAAAUGAAAGUCAUAAUGCACCAAUAUUUAAUUGACACUUGUAAUUGUACGAAGAGGAACAUUGCCCUGAAACAAUUUUCUCACAAAGUUGUUCACACAGAGGUGAACCUCACCCCAUUUUUGCUUGUGAAUGACUGAACAAUUCAAGGAAGCUCCUUUUCUACCCAAUCGCCGCAACCACCUGUUCCCGGACAGCCUGUUCACUUGUGGAAUGUUCCAAACAGGUGUUUGAUGAAAAUUCCUCAACUAUAUCAGUUUUUUUCCACCUGUCCCAGCCAUAAAAUUUUAAGUUAACGAUGCUAAAAAAAAUCUAAUUAAUCAUUGUGAACAUUCAAUAAUUGUGCCUUUGUCGCGGAUCCAAUUAAGUACAUGUUGAACAUGAUUUGCAAAGCAUUGUGCUCAGUUUUGAGUUCUGUAUGUUGCAGUUUCACUUUCACACAAACAAAAAGUAUUUAAAAAAUAAACUGAUAUUACAAAGCGAGUCACCUUUAACCCACGGCGGCGCGUGACGUGCAUCACCGGAAGCUGUUAGCAGUCAGCCAUCUUGUCAACACACGUAUUGCCCGAUAACUUUGUUUGUUUUUUUUAAUCAUCCUCAUAAAAGUUUGUUUCAUCUGCAAUUCAUCGAUGGCACUAGCAAAGAAUGGAAAUAUGAAGAGCCAGAAGAAGCUUUAUAAAACUACACAAGUGAGCUACGAUAGUGACGUUGUCGCACUGAAGAUGCAGCCAAAGUGCGUCCCAUGGCGCCGCAUCAGAGCUCGACUAAGUUGGUCCACGAUGGCGCUGGUCCCUCGCACUUCGUCCAGUCUCUGCCACGUCGUGGAGGCGUUGGGGGAUCGGGUGCCUCCCCACGUAUCUCCCGACGCCCCUGUCCGUCUUCGGUACUCGACGGAGAAGUGCCAGGCUGGAGCCGAGUCCUGAGGGAGACGCCAGCAUAGGAAGAGCUGGUCGUACGCCAGCGUCUUUUGAGUGUCGAUCACUGGAGCCAGAGGGGCUGCGAGGAACGAAACAGUUACCUUUCCACAAUGCGCUCCAGGGUGAGGUUGCGGGGACAGUCCGUCAGGCCGUUCUCAGCCAGCUCCACAUCCCCCUGACAGGAAGGACAUGGGAACAGCAUGGGAGGAGGGGCCGCGUCUUUACGCCGCCGCCCGGGG